rnacentral:rRNA from 1 species
AGCGAACGCUGGCGGCAGGCUUAACACAUGCAAGUCGAGCGGGCGUAGCAAUACGUCAGCGGCAGACGGGUGAGUAACGCGUGGGAACGUACCUUUUGGUUCGGAACAACACAGGGAAACUUGUGCUAAAUACCGGAUAAAGCCCUUACGGGGAAAGAUUUAUCGCCGAAAGAUCGGCCCGCGUCUGAUUAGCUAGUUGGUGUGGUAACGGCGCACCAAGGCGACGAUCAGUAGCUGGCUGAGAGGAUGAUCAGCCACAUUGGGACUGAGACACGGCCCAAAUCCUACGGGAGGCAGCAGUGGGAAUA